AAGAAAAUAUUUUAAAGCUGCUAACUUUAAAUUAAAUAAUUUCUUU
rnacentral:tRNA from 1 species